GGAAGAAAUCAUCCAAAUCUAGUAUGUCAAAAGAUGAGGUUAAGAGUUUGUCAGAUGAGGAGGCCGAGAUUCCUUCUGUAGUUUCAGAACAAGAUCCUCAUGAACUGGAGACGGCUAAUCUAAGUUCCAACUUACCACAGAAUGGAAUUUUCUCAUUGCUGGACAGAAGGUGCUCAAAGAGAAGGAACGUUGGAGUUGAUUUCACUAGAUUCUGAAGAGAUUGUUGUGCUAGAGCAAGCUGCUAUAAAGGCACAGGCAGCCUUCAGAGGCUAUUUGGCUCGCCGUGCAUUUCAAGCUCUCAAGGGUAUCAUUAUGCUGCAAGCACUUAUCCGCAGGGACUUGGUUAGGAGACAAACUUGUAAUUCUGAUAUGCUUUGCACACAAGGGCAAUUGAUCAGCCACCAAACAGAAUUAGUACCAGAACAACCUCAAAAUGAAAUUCAGAAGAUUAGACGAAAUUCGAGGAAAGUUUCUGGAUUC